rnacentral:rRNA from 1 species
AUGAAUAUGGUUGCAUACAUUUCCUCUGUCUGUACUUGCACUCCUCCCUCUAUCAACUCUUGCUUGAUCAAGCUCUUCUAUUAUGUCAUCUGGUCCACCAAUUGCAUCAACAACAACAUCACCAACAAGCACCCGUGUACUAUCCAAUGCUCAACAUACUCUAGCUCCCAUCGCCAGAAACCACAAAUUAUCUAUCAAGCACACACACACAAAACUAGAAAUUUGGAGCUAGAAAAAACAGUUCUAGACCUAAGAGAACAAUCAAUGGGCGUGCUCCUCGGUGUUGGACAUGUAGAACUUACCCGUCGUGCCACAGUAAGGGCAAGGGAUCAGUGGCACCACUAG